ensembl:lncRNA
GAAACCGAGAGAGAGGCAGAAACCGAGAGAGAGGAGGAAACCGAGAGAGGAGGGAACCGAGAGAGAGGAGGAAACCGAGAGAGAGGAGGAAACCGAGAGAGAGGAAGAAACCGAGAGAGAGGAAAAUACCGAGAGAGGAAGAAACCGAGAGAGAGGAAAAAACUGAGAGAGGAAGUAACCGAGAGAGGAAGAAACCGAGAGAGAGGAAGAAACCGAGAGAGAGGCAGAAACCGAGAGAGAGGCAGAAACCGAGAGAGAGGAAGGAACCGAGAGAGAGGAAGAAACCAGAGAGAGGAAGGAACCGAGAGAGAGGAAGAAACCAGAGAGAGGAAGGAACCGAGAGAGAGGAAGAAACCGAGAGAGAGGAGAAACAGAGAGAGGAGGAAACCGAGAGAGAGGAGGAAACCGAGAGAGGGGAUGAAACCGAGAGAGAGGAGGAAACCAAGGGAGAGGAAGAAACCGAGAGAGAGGAAGAAACCGAGAGAGAGGAGGAAAACCGAGAGAGGAAGUAACCGAGAGAGAGGAAGAAACCGAGAGAGAGGAGAAAACCAAGAGAGGAGGAAGAAACCGAGAGAGAGGAGGAAGAAACCGAGAGAGAGGAGGAAACCGAGAGAGGAGGUAACCGAGAGAGAGGAGGAAACCGAGAGAGAGGAGGAAACCGAGAGAGGAAGUAACCGAGAGAGAGGAGAAAACCAAGAGAGGAGGAAACCGAGAGAGAGGAGUCAACCGAGAGAGAGGAAGAAACCGAGAGAGAGGAGGAAAAAACCGAGAGAGUGGAGAAAACCAAGAGAGGAGGGAACCGAGAGAGAGGAGUCAACCGAGAGAGAGGAAGAAACCGAGAGAGAGGAGGAAAAAACCGAGAGAGUGGAGAAAACCAAGAGAGGAGGAAACCGAGAGAGAGGAGUCAACCGAGAGAGAGGAAGAAACCGAGAGAGAGGAAGAAACCGAGAGAGGGGAAGAAACCGAGAGAGAGGAGGAAACCGAGAGAGGAGGCAACCGAGAGAGAAGAAACUGAGAGAGGAGGAAAUCGAGAGAGAAGAAACUGAGAGAGAGGAGAAAACCAAGAGAGGAGGAAACCAAGAGAGAGGAGGAAACCGAGAGAGAGGAGGAAACCGAGAGAGGAGGCAACCGAGAGAGAAGAAACUGAGAGAGGAGGAAAUCGAGAGAGAAGAAACUGAGAGAGAGGAGAAAACCAAGAGAGGAGGAAACCGAGAGAGAGGAGAAAACCAAGAGAGGAGGAAACUGAGAGAGAGGAAGAAACCGAGAGAGAGGAAGAAACCG